UGUUGGUUCAGUAGCAGUCAUCUAGUUCAUGCUUUGAUGCAGAGAUUGCGAAGAGAUGUUGUUUCUUGUUAAAUUCUUUGUACCCAGAGAAGGAGUUUUACUAAAAAAUUGGGAAAUUAGAUUCCCAGCUGUCAUAGGAGGGAAGCAAAUGGCUUUUUCAUUCCCCAAAGUACUGUCUACCUUACUCCUUUGGGACUUCGAACAGGCAGCCAAGAAAAAUCAAAAGCUGGGAAAACUUUUUCCCUAAAUACCUUUAUUCUGGGUUCAUUGAUAAGUUGUAUGUACUGCAGAUUGCAGAUGUAAGCCUGUUAUUAUAUUUUUGCUUUUCAAAUUAUGGCAACACAUGAGUCAUUUCUGGAAGAAAUGCUUACAUAUCUCAUUUCUCAAUUAGAACCACUAGAUGGACAGCUGAAGUCUCCCUUGAGUAGUUCAAGUGGCUAUCCCAGGAUGGACAAAAGGGAUAGCAGUCUACUCUGAAACUGUAAAACCCUUUUUUUGUUCCCCAGGUGACUUGAAUAACUUAUAUAACUUAUAAUUACCUGAGAAGCACACCAAAAAUAAUCACAAGUGCAAAAGGGAGGUUUUCCAGAAUAGGCACAUCAGAUUAUUACAAAGAAAAGAGCAAUGGUAUAUCCACUUUCGCUCUGUUUGAAAACAUAGUAUAUGUGUGGUCACAUAUUAGAUGAUUAAUUUAAGCUAGAAGAGUAACUUUCCCAAAUUGACCAUUCUUAACAUUUUAAGAAAAUAAUUUAAUUAAAAAUAAUAUGAGUAGGGGGUGGUUCCAAGAUGGCCGAAUAGGAACAGCACCAGUCUACAGCUCCCAGCCUGAGCGACGCAGAAGAUGGGUGAUUUCUGCAUUUCCAACUGAGGUACUGGGUUCAUCUCACUGGGGCUUGUCAUAUAGUGGGUGCAGGACAAUGGGUGCAGCCCACCGAGCGUGAGCCGAAGCAGGGCGAGGCAUCACCUCACCCGGGAAGUGCAAGGGGUCAAGGAAUUCCCUUUCCUAGCCAAGGGAAGCUGUGACAGAUGGCACCUGGGAAAUUGGGUCACUCCCACCCUAAUACUGUGUUUUUCCAACGGUCUUAGCAAACGGAACACCAGAAGAUUAUAUCCCGCGCCUGGCUUGGAGGGUCCCACGCCCACGGAGCCUUGCUCAUUGCUAGCACAGCAGUCUGAGAUUGAACUGCAAGGCAGCAGCGAGGCUGGGGGAGGGGCGCCCGCCAUUGCUGAGGCUUGAGUAGGUAAACAAAGCGGCCUAGAAGCUUGAACUGGCUGGAGCCCACCACAGCUCAGGGAGGCCUGCCUGCCUCUGUAGACUCUACCUCUGGGGGCAGGGCACAGCCGAACAAAAGGCAGCAGAAACAAACAGAAAGGACAUCCACACCAAAACCCCAUCUGUACGUCACCAUCGUCAAAGACCAAAGGUAGAUAAAACCAAAUGUUUUCUAUAAAAAGUAGGCUUUGUUGAUUUAUGUUUAUUUUAUUUUUUUUUUUAGAGAUGGGGUCUCAUUCUGUCACCCAGGCUGGAGUGCAAUGGCAUGAUCAUUGCACUGUAUCCCCUAAGGACUGUUAUAUUUGGUACAUAUCCUUCAAGACUUUAGUUUGUACAUAUAUAUGUGUGAGAUAUACACAUCCAUGCUAUUGAAAUAUAACCAGAGUUCUGCUUUGUAUUUUAGGGUUUUAAACUGUCAGAAGCACUAUUUAUUUAUUUAUUUAUUUUGAGGCAGAGUUUUGCUCUUGUUGCCCAGGCUGGAGUGCAGUAGUGUGAUCUCGGCUCACUGCAACCUCUGCCUCUGGGGUUCAAGUGAUUCUCCUGCCUCAGCCUCCCAAGUAGCCGGGACUACAAGCGCGCAUCACCAUGCUCUGCUAAUAUUUUGUAUUUUUAUUAGAGACCGGGUUUCACCAGGUUGGCCAGGCUGGUCUCGAACUCCUGACCUCAGGUGAUCCACUUGACUCAGCCUCGCAAAGUGCUGGGAUUACAGGCGUGAGCCACCGCGCCUGGCUAGCACUUUUAUUUAAUUCAAAGUUAUAAACUUACAAACUGCUGUACCAGAG
rnacentral:lncRNA from 10 species